UACAGAGGUCUCAAGCGUUGUUCGGAUUCAUUGGGCGUAAAGGGUGCGUAGGCGGCGCGGUAAGUCGGGUGUGAAAUCUUGGAGCUUAACUCCGAAACUGCAUUCGAUACUGCCGUGCUUGAGGACUGGAGAGGAGACUGGAAUUUACGGUGUAGCGGUGAAAUGCAUAGAUAUCGUAAGGAAGACCAGUGGCGAAGGCGGGUCUCGUGGACAGUUCCUGACGCUGAGGCACGAAGGCCCAGGGGAGCAAACGGG
rnacentral:rRNA from 1 species